GAGGGUAGAGCUCAGUGGUAGAGCGCCUGUUCAACACGCACAAGGGCCUGGGUUCAAUUCCCAGUACCUCCU
rnacentral:tRNA from 1 species